rnacentral:tRNA from 1 species
GGUAGCGUGGCCGAGUGGUCUAAAGCGCUGGUUUUAGACACCAGUCAUUUCGAUGACGUGUCUUCGAAUCGAAUCCCACCGCUGCCA